rnacentral:lncRNA from 1 species
CAUCUGCCCGGGGAUCCCGACGCAUCAGAAUAUCGAGCCGAUGGCUAAAUGACUGGAGCCGAACGCUCCUGAUUAAAGCUGCAGGAAAGAGACCGGCGGAAGGCAGCUCGCGCUGGCUCGUUGCUGACCUGGUGGGGCUGCCCCGGGUGCGAGCCGCCAUCCAUCACACCCAGGAGCGUGUUACCUGUGUGCGCUGCUGGAGCAUCGUGUCUCGCUGGAGCAUCGUGUCUCACUGGAGCUCUUUGAGCGGGGGGGUUUCUAAUUUUAGCCUGUCAGAGCUCUGUGUGAGGUGGCAGCAAUUGAGAUGAAUGGGUGAGGGAGGGAGAGAGGGAGGGAGGGGCAGUCAUUGGCUGGCCCCGGUGAAGCGGGCUACUGACGAUGCCCUGACCCACCCACCCAACAUGAGCGCGCACACGCACACACACACACACACACACGAGCACUGAGGAGCGGGCUGCUGUGAUUGUCCCGGGCCGUCGCCGGUGAGGGAAGCGGAGGUUGCACGGUGAUCCGCAGGCUCGGUGCUGCGGCCGGGGAUCUGCGGGGUGAGAGGUUCCCCUCCCCGCUCCCUGCUCCUCCUGCUCGUCCAGGGAGGCGCUCGGAGCUCCGCUCGGCGGCCCGGCACAAGCGACGGCGCGUCCAGGCGCCUCCUCUUCUCCAACAUCUGCUUGCAAGCGGAAUCCCGGCUGCGACGCACGGAGGGGAAAGGGAGGCGCGCCGUGCUCCCGCAGCUUGUUCGACGAUGUCCGUGUCGAGCCCCGUGAAGAGCUCCCGCAAGUGGAGGCAGGACCUGCAGCAGUUCCGCCAGACCCACGGCAUCUCCAAGAAGGUCCUGCGCAACUGCUGCCUGGUGCGACGCAUCAAAGCGUGGGUGUCUCCGCACCCCAAAGAUAACUGCGGGAAAAGGGAACGUUACCUCUAUACGGUCUCCA